UCUAAUGUGAAAAGUGUUGCCCAGAGU
rnacentral:piRNA from 1 species